rfam:Picea glauca, whole genome shotgun sequence.
AUGUACAUUCCUAUAACAUAGCGUUAAUGCACUGGAUCCCAUUAGAACUUGGUAGUUAAUCAUGCUCAAGCUAGAGUAGUACUGGGAUGAGUGACCUCCUAGGAAGUCUUAGUGUUUUACAUG